rnacentral:rRNA from 1 species
UACGGGGGAGCAAGCGUUGUUCGGAUUUACUGGGCGUAAAGGACGCGUAGGCGGCGCAACAAGUCACUUGUGAAAUCUCCGGGCUUAACUCGGAGCGGCCAAGUGAUACUGUCGUGCUAGAGUGCGGAAGGGGCAACUGGAAUUCUCGGUGUAGCGGUGAAAUGCGUAGAUAUCGAGAGGAACACCUGCGGCGAAGGCGGGUUGCUGGGCCGACACUGACGCUGAGGCGCGAAAGCCAGGGGAGCGAAUGGG